rnacentral:lncRNA from 1 species
CGCCAAACACGUCAAAACAACUCGGAUUCACAUUAAAUUUUGUACACUAGUUUCAAAUAACACAAGGUACUUAUUCCAAGUUCUGGAACAACAAUCUAGACCUGGUAACAUUGAAUUCAACAUAUCGCGAUUCACAGUGCCCAAACAAUAAAUUUGCUCUUUGCUAACGCGACUCAAAGCCUGCGAUCGCAAUGCACACCCCUAUGGCCAAAAACUAGAAACUAAAAAUGGCCUAGAAAUGGUCUGAAACUACCCCGAAACUCAUCCGAGUCAAUGGGAACCCCGUCCGAACAUACCAACUUGUCCAAGUUUAGCCAAUUAGUGCUGAAACCUUCUAAAAAUAUUCAAAUACAAAUCCGGGUAUACGCCCAAGUCCACAAUCACCAUUCGGACCUAACGGAACCAUUAAAACUCCAAUCUGAGGUCAAAUACUAAAAAGUCAAACUUGGUCAACUCUUCGUAGUUGAGAAUUAUUCUUCCAAAUCAAUUCCGAGUCACCUGAAAACCAAAACCGGCGAUUCACAUAAGUCAUAAUAUAUCAUACGAAGAUACCCAAGACUUCAAUAGAUGAACAGAAUGCAAAUGCUCAAAAUGACUGAUCGGGUCGUUACAUAUUUCAUCCAUUUUCCUCCAAUACGAUGUGUGACAUCCUUGUCAAUAUCACCAUUACCUUGAUUAAUAGAUCUGAGUUGCUUGAAACUCCCCUUAUUAGGGAUGACUUGUGAAUCUAGCCUCACUUUGAUGUCUGUAUCAUGACACAUUGCUGAACUUGCAUUCCAAAUACUUAGUUUUAGUCCUGCUCAUCUUAACCCUUUUGACUCCAGAGUUUGUCUUCAAACCUCUACCCUCGCAUUAACACCACCUCGCAUCUCUUCAAUUAGUAAUAACAUGCACCAUGGAACCUCCUCUUGAGUGUGCUGUGUCAGAACAUCCAUCGCCGGGUCAAAUAAAAAUGGGCUAACCACGGAUCCCUGAUGCAAGCCCAUCCCGACAUGGAAGUGCUCCGAGUCUCCUCCCACCGUCCUAACCCGGGUCUUAACGCCAUCAUACAUAUCCUGGAUCACCCUAGUAUAAGCUACAGGCACACCUCUAACCUCUAAAAACUACCAAAUACUCUAGUGCAAAUUAUUUUAGGAGAAAAAUAUUUUUGAUAACUUUUAACUAACUGAAUAAUCAAGAAAAUCUCUUGAAUUCUUAUAAGAUCUCAGAUGAACCCGGUAGUGCGUUUUUAUUGGAAAGGAGAUUAGGAUUUGAGUUCAUCCUCAUAUAGGGUCGAAUUAUUUGGUUAAUGUGUUGAUAUAUAUUAUUUUCCAAUUCCUUGCAACAAAGGAAUAUUAUACACAUUAAAAGCUCGUGCAUUCAGUUAACAAGCAAUUCAAGCAAGUUCUCAUGAAUGAGUUUGAUUCCAUGCUCAUCCAAAAGAAUAUGAAGGCUGGAGUAGUUAGUCCGUUGCAGUCUUAUGUAUAACUUUAGUCCAGCCCUAGUUCAGAUAUAUUAAGGUAUUGAGUUAUAAUUAUACUUUUUAAGUUAGAGUUGACUUGAAAGUAUGAAAAAUUCGCGUGAGCCGUUAAGAAAAUAGUUAGAGUUAAGUUUGAAUAUUGCAGGAGUUGUAAUUUAAAUAAUUUGACUCCUUUUGUUUUAGUGAAAUUGGGGUUAAAUACUACCGGAUAGGUCAAGCUUUUGCACCUUUUGAGCCAGGUGAUUUUUCACCUAAAAAUAUCUAUGUUCUUUAAUUUUCCACACUUGAUUUUAUCACAUUUCACGACAUAAGCUAAAGAACCAGGUUUCUUUAGACAAAUUCUAGGGGCACUCAAUUUAACAAAUUCAAAAUGCAAUUGACUUUUCUUAAUCCACAUAAUCAUUUGUAUUUCGGGAAAUACACUAUUUUGGCAUUCGAAUAAAAUAAAACGCUCAUAUACAGUGUUUCAUAGGGCUGGAUCGUCAGGCAAGAUGUUUUACUUAAGGCACAAGCCCUGAAACAUGAUGCAUAAGGUGCAUUGAUCUUUAAAUUUUUUAACGUUAUAAUUUAAUAAAAUAUCACAAUAACAUAAAAAUUUUAAAAUUACAUUAAAAGUUUACAAAAGUAAAAAAAUUAAAGGAACUCAUAGAAAAUAAAAUAUCUAGCUUUGGGUGGUUAUGGCGAGGUGCAUGGCGGCUUCGGCUUUGGGGAUAGGAACGGAGGAGGAACUUCGCUUUUGGAUUUUGCUAAAGCAUUUGAGCUGGUGAUUGCGAACUCUAGCUUUCCGAAGAGAGAGGAGCAUUUGGUUAUGUUCCAAAGUACGGCGGUGAAGAGGCUCUUGGUGAUGGUUGUGUAAGGAUUGCAAGGUGAUUCCGGGGGAGAUCCUUGCGACGCAGCAUAGGCUCUUGGUGAUGGACGUUGUUAUCAUGAUAAAGAGGAAGAAGAGGUUUGUUCGAGGACGACCGAGGAUCAGGUGGGGAGCCUUGACAAAGGAUAAAGCUCAAGAGUUGGAGGGGAGUUUAUCGACUAUGGGAGCCUGAAGGAGUAGUGGGGACGCGACCGCUAUGUGGAAGACGACGGCGAACUGUAUAAGGGAUGUGGCAAGAGAGGUAUUAGGGGUCUCGAGAAGUUACUCUGGCGGGCACAAAUGUGACUUGUGGUGGAAUGAAGUGGUCCAAGGUAAAGUGGAAGCGAAAAAGGUUGCGUACCUGAAAUUAGUAGGGAGAACAUGCGAGGAGGAGAGGAGAGAAAACAGAGAGAGGUAUAAGGUAGCUAGGAAGGAGGCAAAGUUGGCAGUCACAGAGGCUAAGACUGUAGCGUUUGGUUGUCUGUACGAGGAAUUAGGGGACAAAGGCGAGGAUAAUAAGUUAUUUCGACUGGCCAAGGCGAGAGAGAAGAAUGCUCGGGAUCUGGACCAAGUGAGGUGCAUCAGAGAUGAGGAAGGUAGAGUAUUGAUAGGAGAGGCACAAAUUAAGCGGAGAUGGAAGACUUACUUUCAUAAACUUCUGAAUGAAGAAGAGGACAGGGAUAUUGUGCUAGGUGAAUUGGGGCAUUCAGAGAGUCACCGAAAGUUUGGUUACUGUAGACGCAUCAAGGUUGAGGAGGUAGUGGGGGUUAUAUGUAAGAUGAGUAGGGGCAGAGUAACCGUGCCAGAUGAAAUUACGGUAGAACUUUGGAAGUGUGUGGGUAGAUCAGGCUUGGAGUGGAUGACUAGGCUGUUUAAUAUUAUUUUCAGGGCGAAGAGGAUGUCGGAUGAGUGGAGAUGGAGUAUGGUGGUACCAUUGUACAAGAACAAAGGUGAUAUCCAGAGUUGCAAUAACUAGAGGGGUAUCAAGUUACUAAGUCAUACUAUGAAUAUUUAGGAGAGGGUAGUGAAAGUGAGGGUGAGAAGGACUGUGUCUAUAUCCGAUAACCAGUUCGAGUUCAUGCCCGUCCAUUCAACUAUGAAAGCUAUCCACCUUAUUAGGAGGUUGGUGGAACAAUACAGGGAUAUGAAGAAGAAUUUGCACAUGGUGUUUAUUGACCUGGAGAAAGCGUAUGACAAGGUGACUAGGGAGGUCCUUUGGAGAUUCCUGGAGUCAAAAGGUGUGCCGGUCUUUUACAUCAGGGCGAUUAAGGACAUGCAUUAUGGAGCUAAGACUCGGGUUAGGACAGUGUGAGGCGAUUCUUAGCAUUUUUCGGUUGUUAUGGGAUUGCACCAAGUAUCUGCACUCAACCCGUUCUUAUUUUCCCUAGUGAUGGAUGCACUGCCACACCAUAUAGGGGUGGCGUGGAUAAAAUAGAGGUUAACAUCUGGAGUUUUGUCGGGCAAGAAAGUGUCACUGAUGCUCAAAGGUAAGUUUUAUAGAGCGGUGGUUAGACCGGCCAUGUUGUAUGGGGUAGAGUGUUAGCCAGUUAAGAACUCACAUAUCCAGAAGGUGGAAGUAGCAGAAAUAAGGAUGUUGAGGUGGAUGUGCGGGCACACUAGGAUAGAUAAGAUUAAGAAUGAAGAUAUUCAGUAGAAGGUAGGCAUGACUCUUAUGGAUGAUAAGAUGCAAGAAGCAAGGCUCAGAUUGUUCGGGAACGUGCGGAGGAGAAGCCUAGAAGCUCCGGUAAGGAUGUGUGAGAAAUUGGCUUUUGGGUGGUACGAGAAUAGGUAGACGGCGACCUAAGAAGUAUUAGGGAGAGGUGAUCAGGCAGGACAUGGCGUGGCUUCAAAUUUUUAAGGACAUGGCCCUUGAUAGGAAGGUGUGCAGGUCGAGCAUUAGGGUUGUAGGUUAGGAGGUAGUUGAGCAUUUUUUUACAUCGUUCCGGGUGAGAGACUAGUCUGAUAGGGUUUUGUCUUAGACUGCUAGUGGUUAAUAUUGUGUUCAUAUUAUUCUUUCGUUUUUCAUAGUAUCGAGCCUUACCUACUUGUUAUUGUUAUUGCUUUUCAUCUGUUUUCUGGUCCUUAUGUUGCUGUUAUUAUUUCUGUGAUUUCUGUUGAUGGUACUGAUUAAUUGUCUUUGUUCGUCUUUCUGAGCCGAGGGUCUUUUGAAAAUAAUCUCUCUACUCCCUCAGGGUAGGGGUAAGGUGUGUGUACUCACUAGCCUCCCCAGACCCCACUUGUUGGAAUUACACUCGGUUGUUGUUGUUGUUGUUGUUGUUGUUGUUUCUUCUUACAAGUAUAAACAAUGCAAUGGAAUUAAAGUUAUUCCAAGAUACGAAAUCAACUACAAUAUCUUAUUUUCAAAUAAUUAAAAGAAAUCAUUUUUUUUAAAUGAUAUAAAACUAUCUAUUUUGCCUCAAAAAGUAAAUAAUCAAUAAACUUUAAGUACUAUAAUUUAAAAUAUUAUUUCAUGAUAAAUAAAUACAAAAUUUCUUUCAAAUAUCAAAGUAAUAAAAGUCUAAUAAUAGACGUAUAAACUAAGACAUUAAAAAUAAUAACAAGUGAAUAUAUAAAUUUCAUUUAUCUAUUUUCAAAAGAAAUACUCAAAUAAUAUGUGGCAUCAUGAUGUUCUCAAAUAUUAAAUUUCCAAAUACAUUGGCUGAUUAUUUGAGUUAAUCUCAAUCAUCAUAUAUGAGAAUGCAGUGUUAAUUAAAAAAUUCGACACAUGAUUUGCGUAAGAACGGUUAGGUGAGCCCCAAGCGUUGAGAUUUAGGCAUAUUUAGAAGGCACAAUCGGGCGCUUGGGGCAUAAGACUCACAAGUGAGACUUAGGGAGUUUUGUAGUGUCCCACUCAAGGGCGAGCCCUGAGCGAGUCGUAAAAAAGCCUUUUAAAACACUACUCAUAUAUGAGAAUUAUUUUAAACCCCGAGUUAUACUCAUAUAUUUAAGAUAAAAUUAUUUUACUAGCGCUUAUUUCGUAAUUUUAGUUGUUUAUUUUAACCUUGACUUCUUGACCUCAAACAAUAAUCGCUUUUCUAAAAAUUAAGCAACAACAAGCAAAAGGGAAUGCCAAAGGAAAAAUAAAGCAUUAGAAAAGGAGGACAUUAAGGAUCACACCACACAUAUUUGUAUUCACCUCCAAAGAAAUGGUAUUUCCCCCAUUUCACCCUACUCACCAUCACCACCGUAAUUGUUUUUCCAUUUUUGCUUUUCUUCCUCGGUGAUUUAGUACAUGUAGUAAGCAAAGAAGGACAAGAGUGUGGCUCCAAUCAAAGUUCCCACAGCGGGCAAAGCGACAGCAGCAUCGCUGGUCGGCGACGGAGCCGGGGCGUCACUUGGGCUCAUUUGAGCCAUGGCAGCGCUCAUGGAGGCUGCGGCAACUAGGGCGGCACAAGUGAUCUUCUUCAUCUCCGUAUCUAUCAGACGAGUUGAAAUAUAGGCAGGCGAAAAUUAACGUCUCAAAGGAAAGUUGAGAUGUAAUAGCCGAAUUUUCCUUUCCUGCCUU